rnacentral:rRNA from 1 species
CAGCCGCCACGGGAAUACAGAGGGUGCGAGCGUUAAUCGGAUUUACUGGGCGUAAAGCGUGCGUAGGCGGCUUUUUAAGUCGGAUGUGAAAUCCCUGAGCUUAACUUAGGAAUUGCAUUCGAUACUGGGAAGCUAGAGUAUGGGAGAGGAUGGUAGAAUUCCAGGUGUAGCGGUGAAAUGCGUAGAGAUCUGGAGGAAUACCGAUGGCGAAGGCAGCCAUCUGGCCUAACACUGACGCUGAGGUACGAAAGCAUGGGGAGCAAACAGGAUUAGAUACCCCCGUAGUCCCUGUCUCUUAUAC